UUGUGAUAUCAUAAAGAAGAACUUGAAAUAUCAGCCAGGAAAGACAAAUAUGUAGCACAACUCAAGCGCGCCAUUAAUGCAUAUUUCAUUUUUCACUUAAAUAUCUUCAUCCGGGCCUAUAUUCUUCUUUUUUUCUUUAGAAAAAAAAGAAAAAACCUAUCUUGCUCUGCAAAACAAAUGAAAGAUUAAUUCUGAUAGCUUCUUCUUCUUCUUUAAUUUCGUUCUUUAAUUUCAUGGGAUUGUUCAGAUGAUGAUGAUGCUACUGAUGAGAUAAGGGUCUGGUAUUGCCAUCCUUCUUCCAGCCCAUCAGAAACGUUACUUGAAGGAUUGGCAUUCCUGUAAAUGGCAUAGAGCACUAGCUGUGCUGCUCCAAGUAAAAAUCCAGCUCCAUUUGGUACCCCAAGAAAAUAAUCACUUGUGAGAAUAGCAUACAAGGUCCAAAUCCCUCCAUUCAAGAAAAGGAAGAAAGACAGGAGGAAGGGCAUGAACUCCACACUCUUGGCAGUAACUACUGUUCUCAUAGCAGCUAGAGGCGAACCGUACAUAACAAUGUUGAGACCACAACACAUGAACCCUGUUGCAUCGAUCCUCACUUGUCCCUGCAAUACCAAACGAGUAACCAGAAUUGCUGCUGCUAAGAACCCCACAUCCAAGAGCCCAACAAGAAUUCCUGUUUUAGCCCUCAUUUUUGGUGCUGCAUAUACAAGGAAGAGAGUUACAUAUACAAUUUCCACCAGGAUUCCAAAACCAUUAACAGUAGCAACAAGGAAGGCUCCUGGUUUGAUGAUGCCAUAGUAGGUCCAUAAAGCUGCAUUUAGUAAUGUGCAGAUGUAAGGAAGACUCUCAAAGUCCUCAGUGGAUUUGUGCUUUAUAAUUCUCCAAAAAGUUCCAACAGGAGAAAGAAACAUG
rnacentral:misc_RNA from 1 species